AACGAACGCUGGCGGCGUGGAUAAGACAUGCAAGUCGAACGCUGACUUCAGGGUAGCAAUAUUCUGGAGUCGGAGUGGCGCAAGGGUGCGUAACACGUGGGUAAUUUGCCGUGAAGUCUGGGAUAACUUGCUGAAAGGCGAGCUAAUACCGGAUGUGAUGUUUGGGAGGCAUCUCCUGAAUCUCAAAGUUGGGACCGCAAGGCCUGACGCUUCACGAUAAGCCCGCGGCCUAUCAGCUAGUUGGUGAGGUAACGGCUCACCAAGGCUAAGACGGGUAGCUGGUCUGAGAGGACGACCAGCCUCACUGGAACUGAGACACGGUCCAGACACCUACGGGUGGCAGCAGUCGAGAAUUUUCUCAAUGGGCGAAAGCCUGAAGGAGCGACGCCGCGUGGGGA
rnacentral:rRNA from 1 species